rnacentral:sRNA from 1 species
UGGCAGCUUCUGAAGCAGCAACCUUCAAUGCUCAUUCUGCUAUCCAGAUUCUAGGUGGAAUGGGCUACGUGACUGACAUGCCAGCUGAGCGCCACUACAGAGAUGCUCGUAUCACAGAAAUCUAUGAAGGCACGAGUGAAAUACAACGAAUCGUCAUAGCCACCAAUUUACUUAAAGAACAUGGGUUUUAAUUAAUUUUGUUUCUUUUAAAUUGUUUGUAUGAUUAACAUGAAGUGAAAGGCAACUUGUUUUUGAAAAUGGUUGAAUGACCUCUAUAUGCACACACCAUAGCUAUAGGUAAGAAAUGAAGAAACAGCUUAAGGCUUGUCUGAAACAGCUUAAGGCUUGUCUGAAACAACUUAAGACUUGUCUGAAACAACUUAAGACUUGUCUGAAACAGCUUAAGACUUGUCUGAAACAGCUUAAGGCUUGUCUGAAACAGCUUAAGGCUUGUCUGAUACAACUUAAGACUUGUCUGAAACAGCUUAAGGCUUGUCUGAAACAGCUUAAGACUUGUCUGAAACAACUUAAGGCUUGUCUAAGCAUAUCUUUUUGAAGUGUUUCUUACUUUGAAGUAGUUUCUGUUUUAUUUAAGAAAUUGUAAAUGUGGAUUUGUAUAAAAAAAUUAUCUAGUUAAAAUAUUUCAACUUGCCAGCAAAUAUAAUUGAAAAUUGACUAUUUUGUGUUACAUAUUAAUACAGAGGAAACGUAAAAGGCACUGUAUGUCUCCCUUCAUCACCAUCAUCAAACUCCAUUUGAGUGAGGGCCUGAGACAUGAGUAUGUCUCCCUUAAUAUCUACACAAUUUGCAGAAUUUUAUAUAUUAUUAUAUAAAUUGAUAGUGUACCAUAGUUCUGCUAGUACCUGUAUAUAUAAAUGCUCCAAAUCUAAGCAAUUUGUUUAAUUACUAAUUUGAUCAAAAGACCUGUGGAAAAAAAAAAGUGGUUUAUAAAAAAUUGUAUCAAUGAA